GCACCUCAGCAAACCUUCCUGUCCUGCCGGUGACUCUGAGGGUUAAUAUGGUGCCAGACGGACUCAGAGUAAAUCCAGAGGAGCUGCUCAUCUGUUUCUGCUCGUCUCUACAUCUCUGAUACAAAA
ensembl:snoRNA small nucleolar RNA SNORA55